rnacentral:rRNA from 1 species
AGUGAACGCUGGCGGCAGGCCUAACACAUGCAAGUCGAGCGGAUGAAGGGAGCUUGCUCCUUGAUUCAGCUGCGGACGGGUGAGUAAUGCCUAGGAAUCUGCCUGGCAGUGGUGUAUAACGUCCGGAAACGGGCGCUAAUACCGCAUACGUCCUGAGGGAGAAAGUGGGGGAUCUUCGGACCUCACGCUAUCAGAUGAGCCUAGGUCGGAUUAGCUAGUUGGUGGGGUAAAGGCCUACCAAGGCGACGAUCCGUAACUGGUCUGAGAGGAUGAUCAGUCACACUGGAACUGAGACACGGUCCAGACUCCUACGGGAGGCAGCAGUGGGGAAUAUUGGACAAUGGGCGAAAGCCUGAUCCAGCCAUGCCGCGUGUGUGAAGAAGGUCUUCGGAUUGUAAAGCACUUUAAGUUGGGAGGAAGGGCAGUAAGUUAAUACCUUGCUGUUUUGACGUUACCAACAGAAUAAGCACCGGCUAACUUCGUG